ACAUGCAAGUCGAGCGGACAGAUGGGAGCUUGCUCCCUGAUGUUAGCGGCGGACGGGUGAGUAACACGUGGGUAACCUGCCUGUAAGACUGGGAUAACUCCGGGAAACCGGGGCUAAUACCGGAUGGUUGUUUGAACCGCAUGGUUCAGACAUAAAAGGUGGCUUCGGCUACCACUUACAGAUGGACCCGCGGCGCAUUAGCUAGUUGGUGAGGUAACGGCUCACCAAGGCAACGAUGCGUAGCCGACCUGAGAGGGUGAUCGGCCACACUGGGACUGAGACACGGCCCAGACUCCUACGGGAGGCAGCAGUAGGGAAUCUUCCGCAAUGGACGAAAGUCUGACGGAGCAACGCCGCGUGAGUGAUGAAGGUUUUCGGAUCGUAAAGCUCUGUUGUUAGGGAAGAACAAGUGCCGUUCAAAUAGGGCGGCACCUUGACGGUACCUAACCAGAAAGCCACGGCUAACUACGUGCCAGCAGCCGCGGUAAUACGUAGGUGGCAAGCGUUGUCCGGAAUUAUUGGGCGUAAAGGGCUCGCAGGCGGUUUCUUAAGUCUGAUGUGAAAGCCCCCGGCUCAACCGGGGAGGGUCAUUGGAAACUGGGGAACUUGAGUGCAGAAGAGGAGAGUGGAAUUCCACGUGUAGCGGUGAAAUGCGUAGAGAUGUGGAGGAACACCAGUGGCGAAGGCGACUCUCUGGUCUGUAACUGACGCUGAGGAGCGAAAGCGUGGGGAGCGAACAGGAUUAGAUACCCUGGUAGUCCACGCCGUAAACGAUGAGUGCUAAGUGUUAGGGGGUUUCCGCCCCUUAGUGCUGCAGCUAACGCAUUAAGCACUCCGCCUGGGGGAGUACGGUCGCAAGACUGAAACUCAAAGGAAUUGACGGGGGCCCGCACAAGCGGUGGAGCAUGUGCUUUAAUUCGAAGCAACGCGAAGAACCUUACCAGGUCUUGACAUCCUCUGACAAUCCUAGA
rnacentral:rRNA from 1 species